UACCAGCACCCCGAGUGGUCGGGACGUUUUAUUGGGCCUAAAGCAUCCGUAGCCGGUUCUACAAGUCUUCCGUUAAAUCCACCUGCUUAACAGAUGGGCUGCGGAAGAUACUAUAGAGCUAGGAGGCGGGAGAGGCAAGCGGUACGUCGAUGGGUAGGGGUAAAAUCCGUUGAUCCAUUGAAGACCACCAGUGGCGAAGGCAGGCCUCUGGGCAUUAAACUGACGCUGGAGGAGCGAAAGCCAUGGGGAGCGAACAGG
rnacentral:rRNA from 1 species